AUACAUUCUAAAUGCUAUGUAUAUAGUUGUUAUACUUUAUUGUUUAGGGAAUAAUGACAAGAGAAAAGUCUGUAUAUGUUCUGUACAGACACAUUUUUU